GAGCAGGCUCCGGGGGACAGG
rnacentral:miRNA from 1 species